AAGCUCUUCCAGUUCUUUUAGGCAAUACAAAUUUAUCAACUAUAUCAGGAUUGUUCUCUUUUUCAGCGUGAUCAAUGCACUUGACAGAGUUAUCCAACGUUGUAAAGGGCAUUGAGGGUUGUUUUAAGCUAUUGUUCUCCAUGCUGCUCAGCUAUCUUUGAGUCUACAUGUUGGCGGGCUAGCUUUCUCUCAAUCAAAAGUUGUGCUUCCAACUCCUUGACCUUAACCAACACAUAUGAUGCUAAGAAGGACAUUUAAAAGUAAAAUUAAAAUAUUAUGUGUUCCAAUAUAAUACCUUGUCUUGUAGACUUUUGGUUUUAAUAUCCCUCUCCUUUAUCUUUGAAUCUAAUCCAUGAAUUGUUUCCUCCA